ACUCAAAUAUUGCGAGACGCUCUGCAUUUGUCAAUGGCACAUUUGGGUCUCUAAUUAGGUUGCAUGGAGUUGCGAAGAAAAUUGUGCGAAGAUGAUGACAGGCCUAUCAACAUAUCUCAGAGGUUUAUGGGUAACUUGCAGUGUGAGAAUGUGAUUUGGAUGACAAACACAAUGUGAUGUGCCCUGUUUAUGCAUCUCAGCAUGUAUUAGCAUUCGUGCACGUGCUGCUUUCGCAAGCUGUUUUUAUGGCAGUGACGACACACACUUGCACAUAAGCGACUGUCAGGAGGCUUCUGUUUGUAUUAGAGCGAAUUCAUAUUUCCUUAAAACUCAAUAUUCACACAAUGCACUUUGAGCUUCUCUUAUUACUCACGCAGUUCAGCUGCCAGUUCAGGUGUCGUUGGUGAAGGUGUUAUAUGGGCUGUGAGAAGCUGGGCGCAUUAGUCAAGGAGGCCCAGCCCUCUCUUACCGGAUGCCAUGCUUAAGGGAAUUCUUUCUGAUUCACACAUAUUCCCCCAAGCAUCUCUCACUCCGUCUAAAGUCACUGAAUCAGCACUAUGUGGAUUUACAGGGCCCUCACUUCUCAAAGAGGCCUGACAGCUUCGGCUUUCAUAGCAUUUUAAUGUGACAUUCUUGCGUCAUAUUUUGUUUAUUUUCCUCUUUCUUCAUGUCAGGAAUCUGCUAGCGCUGUCUGUCCGGCUUACACACCUGCAGCGCCCCAGGGGAAGAGCGCGGCUCAGACCCCACACCCCUGACGCACUUAACUUCGAGGAAACGAGGAACAAUUAGACGUGAGGAACCUUUCAGAGAUCACAGAGUGUGGAGUUAUUACCCGGCCGUAACAAAACACUGUCGCUGCAGUUCCACCGCUCCAUCUAAACACCAACCAAACCUGUCAUCUCCAGGCAAUUAUCAACAAGUCAAAUUGGCAGGAAUUUAAUUUACAGUGCCACACUUAAAAUAAGGGAAUGAUGUUUAGUCUACAAUCCCAAUGAACGCCUUAGUGUUUUUGCACUCCGUAUCAAAUGAGCUUGAUGGUUAUACGGGAUUAAUUGUUGUUUUUGGAAUAACAGUAUCUGUAGCUACUGGUCUGUUUGUGUGUGUGCGUAUGCGCAUGCUAACUUUUUUUUUUUUUUUUGCGCACGCAUGUGUGAUCUGCAGCACCUGGGACAUCAGGCACACCAGGAACGGUCUCUUUCCCAGAGUGCCGCGCAGCAGUGCCCGCCUAGCUUUGGCACCUCAGCUGUCAGCCCGCUCUGCUGAUGAGGAGAAUGUGUGGGGCGAUGAAGUCGAUAAUGAAGGUCCUGAAUGGUUGAGAGCUAAAGAGGCCUGUGGCAAUAGGAUGCAUGAAUGAGAUUGGAUUGGAUGGUCAAAAACUGACCCGUUUCUCUGGGUAAUUAGACAUUUUGAAAAUUCGAAAAAAAUGUAAAUAAAAAAUUAAUGAGCUAUUAGCAGUCAGCCACGAUUCAUUUAUUCAGCAAUAGUGUAGAAUAGAAAGAUUAAGCGAGCCGUAUUUGUCUGGUCAUGUGAUCUCGGCAUGAGAAAGUGUUAUUUUAGUAUUAUUUAAAGUAAAAGAAUAUUAAUUUUAGUUUUAUAUUUUAAAUUUUUAUUUUUCAUUUUAGUUUGUUUCAGUCAUUUUAAUUGAAUGUGCUUUUGUCUUUUCUAUUAGGGUUUUUUUAGUACUAUUUUAGUAA
ensembl:lncRNA